rnacentral:rRNA from 1 species
AUUGAACGCUGGCGGCAGGCCUAACACAUGCAAGUCGAACGAGUUGCGGCCGGGUGAGUCAUGUCUGGGAAACUGCCUGGUGGAGGGGGAUAACUACUGGAAACGGUAGCUAAUACCGCAUACCAUAAGAUGUGCCCAGAUGGGAUUAGCUAGUUGGUGGGGUAACGGCUCACCAAGGCGACGAUCCCUAGCUGGUCUGAACGGAUGACCAGCCACACUGGAACUGAGAUACGGUGCAGAUUCGUACGGGAGGCAGAGGUGGGAAAUAUUGCAGAAUGGGCGAAAGCCUGAUGCAGCCCUGCCGAGUGUAUGAAGAAGGCCUUCGGGUUGUAAAGUACUUUCAGCGGGGAGGCGUUACCCGCAGAAGAAGCACCGGCUAACUCCGGGCCAGCAGCGGCGGUAAUUC